GGGGUUGUGGCUCAGUGAUAGAGCACUUGCCUAGCAAGUAUAAGGCACUGGGUUCAAUCCUCAGCACCA
rnacentral:tRNA from 1 species